rnacentral:rRNA from 1 species
AAUCAACGCUGGCGGCGUGCCUCAGACAUGCAAGUCGAACGAUUAAACUUUCCUUCGGGAAAGAUAUAAAGUGGCGCACGGGUGAGUAACACGUAAGUAAUCUACCUUCGAGUGGGGAAUAACGUCCGGAAACGGACGCUAAUACCGCAUAAUGCAGCGGCACCUUAUGGUGACAGUUGUUAAAGGAGCAAUUCGCUUGAAGAGGAGCUUGCGGCAGAUUAGCUAGUUGGUAAGGUAACGGCUUACCAAGGCUACGAUCUGUAACCGGUCUAAGAGGACGGUCGGUCACACUGACACUGAAUAACGGGUCAGACUCCUACGGGAGGCAGCAGUCGGGAAUUUUGGGCAAUGGCGAAAGCCUGACCCAGCAACGCCGCGUGAAGGAUGAAGUACUUCGGUAUGUAAACUUCGAAAGAAUGGGAAGAAUCAAUGACGGUACCAUUUAUAAGGUCCGGCUAACUACGUGCCAGCCGCCGCAGUAAC